AUUUUGUCCCCUCCCCCCGUUGCCAGGCAACCGACGCCAUUUCGUCCUGCCCCGCCGGGCUGCCCGCACUGCGCAUGCGCGCUCGCCGGCCUCCCAUUGGCUCCCGCCCCGCGGCUUCAAACGGUCCGGCGGGAGCGAUGGCGGCGGAGGCUGCGGCCGGAAUUUUUUUUUCUCUAGGAAAUAUGUCCUUUCACUUCCAUGACUUGAGAUUCUUUUUGUGAGGUUCAGUUUACCAUUACCAUCAUGGCAUUGCCCAUUGGCUCAAGAGUUAGAAGUCCUUUCCCAGUGCACUGCGUAUAUUGGAACAUGGUAGGGCAAGUAUUUUUUGUUCAGAAUUUGACAUAUGAAAUCACUCCUAGCACAGAAGGGACGUUUACAUCUGCACUCCGAAUGUGAAAAAAAAAAAAAGAAAAAAAAAAGGUGGGUGACAAAAAGGACUUUUAGUUUAGUUUUGCUUUUGCUAGACAGCAUCCUCUCCCUCGUGAUGCCCAAGCAGUGCUCUCUGAAGUCAGAAAUCCUGAGCAUUUCUGCUGCACUCACAGUGAAUGGCUGUGAGAGCUGGCUGUGGGAGGGACCCCACGCUGGAGCAGGGGCAGAGAGAGACCAUGAACUUUCUUAGUUCUCAUUUAGUUUCUCACUGCUCCAGUCUACCAGUAGCACUCAAUAAAUUAUGCUCGUCUUCCUAGAGUGAGUCUGCUUUGCCCAUGUCUGAAAUUGGUAAGGGCUCUGCCUGUUCCUUAAAUGUACCCUGAAGCCCUUUUCCACGCUAUUUAGUCCAUCUGUUCCUUUGAUGGGGAGCAGGUCAAAGAACAGUGUGCUGCCCAUCAGUGUGCUGGAUCUAGGGAGCUUUCAAGAUGGAAAAAAAAAACAAACAAAAAAAACAAUGACAAGUUAAUACUGGCUUCCCAGAGUGAAAUCUACUCCAUUUCUCCUUGAACCCCUCCCUGCCACACUCCCUCACUUGUCAUUCAGCCUCAUAAGCUAUAUUUAAUGAGUUUGAAUAUGAUACUGAAGUAUUCGGGACCUGUGCAUAUUGGGUCAGGAGGAAGCAGUCUUGUCCCUGUGCAUUGGGUACAUCAGAACAUGGCAGAGGCUCCAAGUUAUAUUUUCAGAAUUUGUCAGAUGAAAUCAAUGCAGAAGGGCAUACGGGGUGGUGUCCUAACAGGCCUAAAGAACGUGGAGGGCUGAGAGGACUUCUAGGAAUUUUUGUUUUUUUCCUACACAACCUCAUCAUGCCCAAGGAAUGUCCUCUGAAGUCAGAAGUCCUGAGGAUUUCUGCUGCACCCACAGUGAAUGGCUGUGAGACCUGAGAGGCAAAGGGAUUCCCUUUAGCUCAGAGCAGGGUGAGGGGAGCUGGUUGGGCUUGUUCCCAAUGGCCGUGAUCUUGCAGCUUUUGGAGAUGGAUGGCAAUCACAUUUAUGGUACACUUCAAAGAAAUCAGACACUGCUAAGAGCAGAGGAACCCACUGCCAAUCUCUCAGUGCGCAGCCUUUCUCAAGGUACCUAAGCAAGGUCUCAGCACCACAUGUCUUGCCAAGGACACUUAUCAUUUAUUUCACCAACCCAACAGCAUGUCCUCACAUGCAGCAUAUCUCUGCUUCUUCCUGGGGCAUUCACAUAACACAGAGAUACUACGGAAAAGAUUUCUAUCCUGCAGGGCAGCUCACAACUUGGAAGGCCAUCCCAGGGAGACAGACAAGUGUCCUAAUGAUGGUGUCUCAUUAAGGGAAAGUCAGCUCAUUCCCCAGCCUCACAGAAUGCACUGCCCACAGCCCCAGGCUGCUGCUCUCAGCCCCCCUGCACCACAGAGGGAAAUGGGCACGUGGCUGGAGAGAUGCACCUCUGCUCUGCUGGAACUGUGGCUGCAGAGGACGUGCUUCAUGCCCUGGACACACAGCAGUGACUGCAGGGGCUUUCCUGUGUGGGACAGGAGGCAAGAGGGCUUGCUCAGAGGAAGGGGGCUGCAAUGUAGGGAAUAAUACAGACUUUUCUGAGAAGUUCUCCCUCUGACUACAAAUCCGGUUUUUCUUUCUUCUCAUUCCCUAACCAUAUUUCUUCUGCCUGAAGAUUUUAUAACUGGGGGAUGUUUCCAUGUCCCAUGGUCUUUUCCCCACCUGUGUUCAGAGCCCUCCUGCCAACCUCUUUGCCCUUCAGAAACCAGCAGUUCCCAGAGCACUGCCUAGGUGCAUAUCCAUCUUUGCAGAUAGAAAACAGCCUGUCAGAAAGCCCCGACAGGUACAGCAAAGUUGCCAAUGAAGCUGGCCAUAAACAAAGGAGAGGCUGUAGGCAAUUUAUAAGCCUUCUUACAAGCCCACUGAUCAUCAAAGGAACAGUUCAGGAAUCUUAGAGAUGUGUUGGAACUUGACAGUUCCUUUUCCAUUUCUUUCUGCAACCUCACCCAAUCCUGCAAGUGCUGGAAAGGGAAAAGGAAGCAGAAAAUUCUUUUCUGGAUUUUUGUGUGUUUAGUGGAUUAUUUCUCCAACAUAUGUCACACCUUUCUGUGACUGACCUAGGAGCCUCCACCAUGUUCCUGCAUAUAAAUGAGAGGGGUUUUGCCUCUCGGGGACCAGGGCUUGGGACCAGGGCAGGAAACAGGACGAGGGCUGGGGUCCAGGACCAGGGCUGGGGACCAAGACUGGGGACCAGGGCUAGGAACCAUGUCUGGGGACAGGAUCAGGGCUGGGGACCAGGGCUGGGGAUCAGAACAGGGCUGGCUGUGCAGUGCUGGAUGUAGGGCUGGGCCCCAAAACCUCAUCUCUUUCCCUGUGCUGCAAAGCAGCUGGACUAUGACAUGCAUUUUGCAGGAGGAGUGUCAAGACAUGGGUUUUCCUGUUUGCAAGUCCCAGAUCCUGGUGAACAUCACCUAGGUCGGCCCAUCUGGCAGCUGUGCACAGAAGCUGUCUCCAAGAACCCACAGAAACCUCGGGAAUGUUUGCACCCUGCAGUGUCCCUUUUCUGUGACAGUCUGAGUGAUUUAAGGCCCCCAGGGUGACACGGGGUCAUUAAAUUCAUCUUAGUCCAGUGGCUUCCAUAAGACUGUCUGCUUCUUCAGCCUGACUGCAGGCAUUUACCUCUGACCACACUGCCACCCUGACUGGAUCUGCUCUGACCCUCACCCACAAGGGCUCCCCCACUCUGCUGCCCAUCCCAUAGAGGAGCUCCAUGCAUCCAGACAGAUCCUUCACAUGGAGGGCAACCCCCUGUUGAUCAUCCCCGCCUGUCUCUUCUGAAGAAUCUGCCCCCAUCCAGCACAGCACCCCAAGCUGGGGGACCUGUCCCCCCACACCUCAGCAGCUCUUCCAUCAAUGUCCCAGCCCUGUGACAGCAGGCGGGGAUCCAGCUCCUCCUGCCUUUGCCCCAGCCUGAGGGCAUUGGGGCACAUCUGGGCUGCAGCACCUCAGCUGUGGCACAAGGGCCAAACUCAGACUUGUCCCAGACCUUGUGCCAAGAGCCUGGGCAUGA